AAAAAGACAAACCAUGGGUUUACGUGUCCAACGUUUGACCGUCCGUCUUAUUUGAAAAAAUUAAAAAGACAAGUCACGCAUUAAGUAUUAAUCAUGUUUUAUUAUCUAACAAUAAUAAAAAUACUAAUUAUAAAAAAAUUUCAUAUAAGACGGACAGUCAAACGUUGGACACGGAAACCCAGAGUUUGCCUUUUU
rnacentral:pre_miRNA from 1 species